CUGCAGCCAAUGCCAAAGAGGACCUUAAACUUCAUGAAAUUGCCCACCCCUCCUGUAAAGUAAUAAUCCUGGCUUGAGCAAGGUCUUUAUUCUGGUCUAAACUCAUUGAACUGUAAUCCUAGAUCUUCAGACUUGCAUUUGUUGUCUCAGACUACUACACUGUACAGUAGAAUGUUAAAUGAGUAGAGCUCCCCCAUUAGCUGCACAAAACUGGAUGCAUGUAUGAAGCUGAUUUAGUGCAGGCAAUCUAGUUAACUGUUCAAAUCUGAAAAGUUGCCAUUAGAAUGGAGAGACAUGCUUUCCUUUUCUCCUUUGUUCCUAUCAUGCUUGCCAGGAUAUCUGAUAAAGUUUCUGAUAACAAAAUGCAAUGUUGCAUAACAAAUAACACUGAGAUUUUCAUCUUUUUAAAUUAAGUACUAAAAAGUGUGUUUUGAAGUACUAAGUUUAAACACUCUUGUUUUUAAUAGAAACCAAUCUGAAGAAGCAAGGCCUCUUGCCAUUAACCUUCGCUGAUCCAGCUGAUUAUGACAAGAUACACCCUGUGGACAAACUAAGUAUUGUGGGCCUGAAAGAUUUUGCUCCUGGAAAGCCCCUGAAAUGCAUCAUUAAGCAUCCAAAUGGGAGCCAAGAAACAAUCUUGCUGAACCACACCUUCAAUGAGACUCAGAUUGAGUGGUUCCGAGCUGGUAGUGCACUCAACAGAAUGAAAGAGCUGCAGAAGCACUGAGUCUCUGCAAGUACGCACAACUGGCAGUGGACUUGAAUACUGUCUUCAUGAAAGUGCAAUUCCAUGACAACUGUUGGGAAUAAAUAUCUGUGAUCAAAUUUAACCUUAGCUUCCUUUUUAUUACAGUGCUCACUUGCUGACAUUAAUUAAGAGCACUCUUUUCUGUAUUAUCAAGUUUUGGCUUUCAUAGCUGCCUAUGUUUUGUGCAUUUCAGUUGUCCCAUAUUGCUAUGUAUUUAUUUUCAAAUCAUUUUCUGCCCGAUCAUUUCAGUGAUGGCAAAAGGAAGGAGCAUCAGAGGAUUAUUGUUCUUUCAGAAAAUAGAAUAAAGAUUGUGAAUGACAAA